UGGGUGAUCUGCCCUGCACUUCGGGAUAAGCCUGGGAAACUGGGUCUAAUACCGGAUAUGACCUUGGGAUGCAUGUCCUUUGGUGGAAAGCUUUUGCGGUGUGGGAUGGGCCUGCGGCCUAUCAGCUUGUUGGUGGGGUUAAGGCCUACCAAGGCGACGACGGGUAGCCGGCCUGAGAGGGUGACCGGCCACACUGGGACUGAGAUACGGCCCAGACUCCUACGGGAGGCA
rnacentral:rRNA from 1 species